UUUUGAUCAAAAAUGUUAUCAUAUUUGUUGUUUUGACAUUGCAGGCAAAUUAAUAAUGCGAGUUUAAAUCGUGUUUUUUAACUUCACUUGACUGUAUUGGUGUAGUUUAAUGUUUACAUCAGUUAUCUGCUGCCACAUGGCUCAUCCCCUCUUAUUUUUACCUUACUUUCCUUUUAUCAUCCCCCUCUUGUCACCCACCCUCCCCGCCUCCCACCCCCUCUCACUCUGUCUUUCCGUAACCCCUCUGUUCCUCUUCUCUCCCGUUUCUGAGAGUCACUUGCCCACCCUAAAUCAGCAAGCUGCCGAGGAUUGUGGGAACCCAUGGAAUCGCCGUGACCAGGGAUGCAGGCAGGGAGCCACGGCAACGCUGGAAUGUGGGGCGUCUGAGGAGAUAAGAGCUGUGAGCCCAGCCAGGGAGAGGCGCGAAGUGGGGGAGGACGCAGAGGCAGAGUGAGGAGGGAUCACUUACUCUCAUCUGUCUAAUUUUCACAACCCCCGAUCAGACCACACACUCGGUUUGUAAUCCUCCCCAUUUCCUCCCGCGGGCGUUGAGGCCUCAACCGGCAAACUUUGCGCAGGCCGAUGAUGCAGAGGAUGACUCGCAGUUGUUACAGACCGGACAGCAGACCAGGGGAUGAGGGGCGCUGCGCGGCCCGCUGUUAGACAAAAACCAAGAGGGAUUAAUGCAGCGUCUGUUGGUCCCAUAUGCUCCUCAGGACUGCUUUGGUCUUGAUUAAAACUCAUUGUAGGCUGUGUAUGAAGUAUUGAAGUAUUGUGAAGGCCGGACGCCUAAUCCCUCUCAUGACUUGUGCACUUUGAAGACACGAGACUCCGGGGUCAGAAUAACAAGCGGAGAAAAGGAACCUUUCAGCUGCUAUUGGUUAAAUCACUCAGCAUUAAAUGCGAAAGUGACAAGUAUGUUUACGGUGUGUGUAUAUAUUUAUAUAUAAUUCUUCAUGUCAUGUGCGGACGCCUAAGUGUAAUUGUGGGACUCAUCAUGCCUUUUCAAGAAUGUACAUUUAUUCCGAUUGAGAUUGUUUCUGUCAUAAUGUUGUAGGUUCUUCACACUUUUUUAAGUGUCCUACACUUUUUUUGUGAUGUGCUGCUGUAUGAUUACAUUUAACAGGGUUACCAGCCUUUUGGUAGUCUCUGAAGGGAGUCAUCUUCAAACCUUUGCCAUGCUUCUUAUUCUCCAGUCCCCUUUCUUGCACCUUGUCUCGUUCUCUUACAGUUUUUCCCUCCUUGUCUGGCAUUUGAAAGUGACCCUGCAGUCUGAACCCCCUCCCUCCAUCCUCAGCAGACUCUAUGAAGGAGUUGUUGACGCAUCUCAUGAAUAUUCAGUCACCCACUAACCAAAGCUAUUGUUUCCGAGUUCAAUUGCUUCAUUGUUUAUGACCAUAACGAAAUACAUGUAUGUUGCUAAACCUGGCGGUGCACUGCGCGAACUUAGGCUGUAAUUUACUGUUGAAUAACGCUGCAAUCUGCGUGUGUAAUAGGCUAAAUUAAAAGGAGCAUCCAGCAGUGAGAACCCAUAAAUAAUCUGCUGUUUGUGCUUCAACCUUGAAUAAGUUAUACGGCCUGUUAUAUAAUUAAGUCUUUCUAAACUGCAGUUCAACCUCAUAAAACAAACACACACGCACACACACCUAUUUUCUGACCACGCAGGAGUGGAAUCAAAGUCGCUCUUCUCUUUAACGCUUCGAUUAUUUCAAGCAACGCUUUUAAUUAGUGUGAUCCUUUAGCGGAGACUCCAAUGAAAGAGAGAUUAUUGGCAAUGUCAAGGAUGCUAAUUGAAUGUUGGACUUCUAACAAUUAGCCCGCUGCACAACCAUGUCGAGUCAUUACAGAUCCCAUACCCGCUUUGACUUUGUCUGUCGUCUUAAAGAGUAACGUCGGACUUGAAAGUUGGAGCAAUAAAAAGUAAAUAACAACAAACCCUCUUUUAAAAGCAGCUUUCUCCUCUUGAGUCCUAAAAUGUAUUGAUUUCUUUUCCCCCUUUAGACAUAACCUCUCCUCUGCACUUAAUUAAACACACCGCGCAUGUGGGAAUAAAGUUACAGGAAUAUUGUGCGGAGUUUUUCUUGCCCUCUUUUUGAGCCAAUUUCUUACUUUUGUACAACUGCACUGCUAUAAGCACUUAUUAAACUGUAAACCCCACAACAGAGCAAACCAAAA
ensembl:lncRNA